rnacentral:lncRNA from 9 species
GGCUUAUUUUCCGUAACCAUGCAAGGGAUUGCAGAGAAAGAGUCAUAGAGAAGCGGCCAACACCCAGCUUCCACUGCUUUGCCUCAUCGGCCCAACCUUAUGUGCUGAGACCUUGCUGAAGCUCCUACAAGCACAAGUGGGCUCAUUCUUUUUCAUCUGCGAUGUUUUCCUCCAUCUACCAUCUUUUGCUUAAAAAAGGGGGGGGGCAAGUGAGUAUUCACCACGAAACUAUUUGAUUUUGUUCAGUCCUGACAGGUCCUCUGUAACCAAACAGAAUUACAGGGACUCUGCCUACCCCAGGCAGACCCAGCAUCAGGUCAGCUAUAAUUGGCACCUGGUGAGAGGUCACGAAACACGGGCUGUGGGAGCAAGUGCAUUAAGGGCUCGGUGACAGCAGUUGCCAUGCGUUUCUGAGUGCUGUCAAGCAGGAUCUUCAAUCACAGUGUGCUUUGUGCUCUGCAUUCUAAAAAUGGAAAUGAAACCACCAGCUCCUCCCCAGACUGUGAGGCUUGAUGGACGCGAGCUUAAUGAACCCAGGAUAAAGGAAUUAGCCCAAGCAGAAGGCAGAAAAAGCAUUAAGAGACGGUUCCUGGGACCGGAAGGUGAUAAAAGAAACACAUUUCAAAGAGCGAAAACAAGCAUCCAGGAAGGAUCUUGCCAUCAGGUUGAGACAAAUGAAAAGCCCAGGCCUCUAGUUUCUCCAUCUGAAUCUGGAGCAGCUGAGGAAGAAACGGUGGCUCUGAGCAGCUGUCAGCAGGUGCUUCAGAGGUGGAAGCCUGGGGGCCAAGACACCUCCCUCUUGGCUCCGUCUCUGGUCUGGAAGACUCUAACCUCCCUCUGUCCCAUGUCAGUUUCCUCUCCUGCUUGUUGACACUCUUACUUUCCCUCUUUCCUGUCUUUGCUUGUCAGUGUUUAUCUUCUGCUCAAAACUCCCCACUCCCAUCACCUUCCACCUGCCCAGAAGAUCCGCUCAAGUUUCAGCUCUGUAUGUAGCCCCCUCUCUAGAGCAGGGAAUCCUGGUAAUGGCUCUCCCUCAGUAAGGGCUUUUCUUAGGCUUUUUAUCUCGCU